AUGUCUUCGCCGGUUUCGCGUUCAAUCUUGUUUACAAAGUGUUUGAUGAAAUGCCUUCGCCGGUUCCUUGAUUCUUUCUCUUCUUACAUGUUGUUUUUCAGUGUUAUUUUUGCUUACUCUAAUCAACAACUACAUAUUAUAAAAGUUAGACUUACAACUUCAGUUUACAAUUUCUGGGUGAUAGGUUGUUGUCAAAUAAUUCUGAUACUGUUCAGGCUGUUUCUUCAGUCAGAAGGAGCUAUGAAACUGAAUUGUAACAGGUGUUUCUUAAGUCUAUCAUUGUGUUAG